CACGUAGGGCGCGAGCGUUGUCCGGAAUUAUUGGGCGUAAAGAGCUCGUAGGCGGCCUGUUGCGUCCGCUGUGAAAGCCCGGGGCUUAACCCCGGGUCGGCAGUGGAUACGGGCAGGCUAGAGGUAGGUAGGGGAGAAUGGAAUUCCCGGUGUAGCGGUGAAAUGCGCAGAUAUCGGGAGGAACACCGGUGGCGAAGGCGGUUCUCUGGGCCUUACCUGACGCUGAGGAGCGAAAGCGUGGGGAGCGAACAGGAUUGAGAAACC
rnacentral:rRNA from 1 species